UACGUAGGGAGCAAGCGUUAUCCGGAUUUACUGGGUGUAAAGGGAGCGUAGGCGGUUUGAUAAGUUAGAGGUGAAAUACCGGUGCUUAACACCGGAACUGCCUCUAAUACUGUUGAGCUAGAGAGUAGUUGCGGUAGGCGGAAUGUAUGGUGUAGCGGUGAAAUGCUUAGAGAUCAUACAGAACACCGAUUGCGAAGGCAGCUUACCAAACUAUAUCUGACGUUGAGGCACGAAAGCGUGGGGAGCAAACAGG
rnacentral:rRNA from 1 species